AAAGUACUCCUUUCAUCCAAAAAUACUUGUCAGAGAAAUGGAUAAAAAUGGAUGUAUAUAGAACUAAAAUACUUUUAGAUACAUCCAUUUCUCCAACAAGCAUUUCCAGACAGAGGGAGUAUAUA
rfam:Triticum aestivum genome assembly, contig: Triticum_aestivum_CS42_TGACv1_scaffold_577677_7BL